rnacentral:rRNA from 1 species
GAUGAACGCUGGCGGCGUGCCUAACACAUGCAAGUCGAGCGAACAUACCAUGAUUUUUCUGCUCUGGCUUUAUCGGCAGACGGGGGGUAAACACGUGGAUAACUGACCUAUAAUUCUGGGAAAACGUCUGGAAACCGGAGCUAAUCGGGGAUUAUUGAUUGAACCGCAUGGUUCAAUAGGGAAAGAUUGUUUUUCUGUGACUUAUGGAGGGGUUCGCGCCGCAUCAGCUAGUGGGUGGGGUGACGGCGUGCGAAGGCGACGACGUGUAGCCGGCCUGGGAGGGUGGGCGGCCACACUGGGACUGAGAAACGGCCCAGACUCCUGCGGGAGGCAGCAGUGGGGUGUAUUGCACAAUGGGCGGAAGCCUGAUGCAGCGACGUCGCGUGAGGGAUGGAGGCCUUCGGGUUGUGAACCUCUGUCGCCGGUGAAGAAGGUCCUGCUCUUUGUGGUGGGGUUGACGGUAGCCGGGUUAUGAAGCGCCGGCUAGCUACGUG